UACAGGGGGUGCAAACGUUGCUCGGAAUCAUUGGGCGUAAAGCGCACGUAGGCGGUUUGUUAUGUCGGAUGUGAAAGCCCUUGGCUCAACUGAGGAAGUGCAUCCGAAACUGGCAAGCUAGAGUACUAAAGAGGGUCGCGGAAUUCCCGGUGUAGAGGUGAAAUUCGUAGAUAUUGGGAAGAACACCGGUGGCGAAGGCGGCUCGCUGGCCCGGUACUGACGCUGAGGCGCGAAAGCGUGGGGAGCAAACAGG
rnacentral:rRNA from 1 species